rnacentral:rRNA from 1 species
AGUGAACGCUGGCGGUAGGCCUAACACAUGCAAGUCGAACGGCAGCACAGUAAGAGCUUGCUCUUACGGGUGGCGAGUGGCGGACGGGUGAGGAAUACAUCUGAAUCUACUUUUUCGUGGGGGAUAACGUAGGGAAACUUACGCUAAUACCGCAUACGACCUACGGGUGAAAGCAGGGGAUCUUCGGACCUUGCGCGAUUGAAUGAGCCGAUGUCGGAUUAGCUAGUUGGCGGGGUAAAGGCCCACCAAGGCGACGAUCCGUAGCUGGUCUGAGAGGAUGAUCAGCCACACUGGAACUGAGACACGGUCCAGACUCCUACGGGAGGCAGCAGUGGGGAAUAUUGGACAAUGGGCGCAAGCCUGAUCCAGCCAUACCGCGUGGGUGAAGAAGGCCUUCGGGUUGUAAAGCCCUUUUGUUGGGAAAGAAAAGCAGCAGGUUAAUACCCCGCUGUUCUGACGGUACCAAAAGAAUAAGCACCGGCUAACUUCGUG